rnacentral:rRNA from 1 species
AUUGAACGCUGGCGGCAGGCCUAACACAUUCAAGUCGCGCGAUCGGCGGACGGGUGAGUCAUGUAUGGGGAUCUGCCCGAUAGAGGGUGAUAACUACUGGAAACGGUAGCUAAUACCGCAUACUAUCGGAUGAACCCAUCUGGGAUUAGCUAGUAGGUGGGGUAAAGGCUCACCUAGGCGACGAUCUCUAGCUGGUCUGAGAGGAUGAUCAGCCACACUGGGAAGGAGACACGGCCAAGACUCCUACGGGAGGCAGCAGUGGGGAAUAUUGCACAAUGGGGGCAAGCCUGAUGCAGCCAUGCCGCGUGUAUGAAGAAGGCCUUAGGGUUGUAAAGUACUUUCAGUGGGGAGGCGUUAACCGCAGAAGAAGCACCGGCUAACUCCGUGCCAGCAGCCGCGGUAAUAC